UGCUUAAAUCUUUUUACUCUCUGAGUUAUGAAUUUAGGUUAGUUCUACAUCCAAGAUAAAUCUCAAUUAAUUCUUCUUUUUUCUUUUCCCAUUUCCUCCUGUCUCCCUCUCUUCUUUCCUUCUACUCUUUUCUUCACUUUUCUCUCUCUCUUCUUCUCAGUUUUUAUUUUUGUAAUUUGAAAUCAAUGUGCAAGCCAGAGCUUCUUUAGGAAAGACCAUUCCUGAGAGAACAACAGGAAGAAAUAUGAAUGUUAAACAUGUGGUGCCGUGUGGAAGCAAAGCUCCAUAAUUAAUCUAUAGAGCCAUCACCACUGUCAAAAGCAGAAAGGCCCCAGAGGAAAUAAUUUUUGUAUAGAAUGAUGGCAGCAUUAGUGACAGCAGUAAUGAUAAGACACUGAAAAGUAUGUGAAAAUUUCCUUUACAAUCCUGUGUGAGGUUUAAUUAUAAAAACUAGUAUCUUGGACACUUAACUAUUUUUUUUCAGAGGGAAUCAGAGCUAUUUCCAUGAAUUAAUGUCUUAAUCCCCACAACAAUGAGGUCGUGGUCAUCUAGUUGUAGAAUGACUCCUGCCUGCUACAUUUCCCCAGAUACCCAGGACCUUCAUGCUGUCACUCUCCAUGACCUGACCAACAUCUAUUUUGAGAAAUUAUUUUAUAUACUCAUUCAAACAGGUUACUUAUUGGUUAUUUAGAAAUUCUGGAUAAAGACUCACAAGUCAAGCGGGGGUGAUGGAAGAUAUUGAAAUGUCUCCCCG
rnacentral:lncRNA from 1 species